GGGUGAUUAGCUCAGUGGUAGAGCGUUUCCUCGACACGGAAAAGGCCACUGGUUCGAUCCCAGUAUCACCCACCA
rnacentral:tRNA from 1 species